rnacentral:rRNA from 1 species
AGCGCAGGCGGUUUUUUAAGCCUGAUGUGAAAGCCUUCGGCUUAACCGAAGAAGUGCAUCGGAAACUGGGAAACUUGAGUGCAGAAGAGGACAGUGGAACUCCAUGUGUAGCGGUGAAAUGCGUAGAUAUAUGGAGGAACACCGGUGGCGAAAGCGGCUCUCUGGCCUGUAACUGACACUGAGGCUCGAAAGCGUGGGAGCAAACA